UUUCCUUAACUUCUAGAUUGUUAUUAUUAAUAGCAAUUGUCAACACCUCAUAGCCAAAAUGAUGGAUCAUCUCCUCAAAUCUCUUCUUCUCCUAACGUUUCGAAGCUUAUGGGUUACGAGUUAAAUCAGCUAUAUUGUUGAAUAUCCCAAUUUGAAACUCACGACAUGUAAGAGGAAGAGAAUCGAUAAAGCAUAAGCAUCAAAUAUUUAUGGAAUUUAUCCAUGUUUGAGUGAAGAGCAAUAUGAUACAAUUUUGGUUCUUUAGAUCCUUGAUUUAUCUUAUUAUAUGCUAUGUAUUUUCUCUUUUCUGAUAUUGCUGUCCAGGUAUAGCUGGGCAAUUUUGUGGCAAAGGAGAUGGAUCCUUCAAAUGAGGCCUCUUUUCGUUAGUUCGAGAAAAAUUGUGCAUCCUUUUCUAAGAGGAAUGUCAAUCCAACUGCUAUGGAAAGGAUUACUUGAAAAAUAUUUUUUGUGACAGCAGAUGAAGUUGUUUGAGCAUCCACAUAGAGACCAACAUAUUGUGUGUGAAAUAUGUGGGACAAAGCGGCAUCUUCACACAGAUAAAGGGGCCUACUUUGGAUAGAAUGAAAUGUGAGUUUCAAGAUUAUCAACACAUUUUUUCAACCAUAAGGGACUACAAUUUCUGAUAUUUAGUUGAAGUUUCUUUUUGUUAAAAGUGACAUUUUAUUUCAUGAAUGUAGAAAGUGAUAAAAUAAAUUCAUUACAAGUUCAAGGAGAAAUUCAUAGAUGGCUAGCCAUAGUUUUAAACCUUAAGGAUAUCAUUAUAUCAAGUUGUUGCUAUAAAUAGAUGACUAUAUAUUAAUUAAAAAGAAGUAAGUUGACGGUCUUUUCGA